rnacentral:lncRNA from 1 species
UGGAGUCUGAUGACCAAGGGCAGGAAGCAUCCAGCACGGGACAAAGAAGAAAGCCAGAAGACUCAGCAAGCCAGCUCAUCUCACUUUCUUCUGCCUACUUUGUUGUAGCUGAGCUGGCAGCCAGUUGGAUGGUGCACACUCACAUUGAGGAUUGGGAGGCUGCUGUGUAUGGAUAAGAUACCUGCUACAGCCAGCUUGACACCAUGAGAAGGACAAGAGAAUUGCAGAGACACAUAUCCAGGAUUCUGAUCCAGUUGAGGCACUGAAAUAAUCUAGAACCACCUUCAAAUUUCUUAUAAAGAGAGCUAUGCUAUUAGGAUUUAAUUAAAUGGAUGCCAACAGCAAGUAAACCAUCUCCAAAGAUGCCAUGAAGCUCUCCUAAUUGCAGGAAAAUAUCAGAGGCACUUGAUUUGAGUCUUUCAAGUACGGAAAUAACAAAUUCAGUCUCAACAGACCUAUAGUGAAUGAGAAUGAUUGUCACAUAAUGUGUAGAGAAAAUGGAAGAAUCAAAGGCAAGGGAAACCUGUACAGUGGAGACACAAAGGGUCACUGGCAGAUUUCAAAUGAUCCAAGACAUCCUCAAGGAAGAUUUACCACAAGUUACUUUAUCAUAGCUUUGAGUGGCAUUUUAAUAUCAUAUUUUAAAAGAAAGAAAACAAUAGAAAUGUAUUAAAAUAUCUUCUCAAGAAUCCUUCCAAACCACAAGGAAAAUCACCAGGCCAAAAGUGAGGUUUGAAGUCUGGACAUGUACUGGUUUUCUCUAGCAAUCGACUCUCAAUUUUUGGACAUUGAGAUCUGCUGGUUGGAGAUCUUAGUGCCCAAGGAAGAAUGCUUGCAAAAGGAGAUGGAACAGUGUUUCUGUUGCAUUGGCCACUGAGAAUAUCUGGUUAUUUUGAAUUUGUCACAGUCUGCAGCUAAAAGGCGAACAGGAAAAGAAGAGAUCACGAAUCAAGCUGAAAAAGUAAAGCAUUCUGUGAGUUGUGGAAUGGAAAUUGCCUCAACCAUCUCACCACUUGAUGACACUUGUAAUUUCAGUGACCCAAUUCAAGCAAUCAAACAUCAAGUAAUACUCUCAAUAAAGAUGUGUAAUUAAAACAGAAGAGGAAACAGACUAACAGAAGUGAUGAAGAAUGGCAGUUCUAAGGAUGGCAGGAAUUCACUGAAUGUCUAUCUAUCAUGUAUGCUGUUGGAGGCACCUGUCUUUCAGUUCAGAGGUUAUGGAUGUAUCUAUCAUCAGUAUUUCGGGAAGUCAGGGACCCGGAACAGAGGGACUUAAUGAAGCUGUGGCAGAAGAAAAAAUUAUGAAGAUUUCAUGGACAUUUAUUAGUUCCCCAAAUUAAUACUUUUAUAAUUUCUUACA